GACGAACGCUGGCGGCGUGCCUAAUACAUGCAAGUAGGACGCAGUUGCGAACGGGUGAGUAACGCGUAGGUAACUACCUAUUAGAGGGGGAUAAAUAUUGGAAACGAUCGCUAAUACCGCAUACUAGUAGAUGGACCUGCGUUGUAUUAGCUAGUAGGUAGGGUAAUGGCCUACCGAGGCAACGAUAGAUAGCCGACCUGAGAGGGUGUUCAGCCAAACUGUGACUUAGACACGGCCAAGACUCCGACGGGAGUGAGCAGUAGGGAAUCGUCGGCAAUGGGUGGAACCCUGACCGAGCAACGCCGCGUGAGUGAAGAAGGUUUUCGGAUCGUAAAGCUCUGUUGUUAAGGAAGCGGUACUUAACCAGAAAGCGACGGCUAACUACGUGCCAGCAGCCGCGGUAAGUC
rnacentral:rRNA from 1 species